GACGAACGCUGGCGGCGUGCUUAACACAUGCAAGUCGAGCGAUGAAGUUCCUUCGGGAAUGGAUUAGCGGCGGACGGGUGAGUAACACGUGGGUAACCUGCCUCAUAGAGGGGAAUAGCCUUCCGAAAGGAAGAUUAAUACCGCAUAAGAUUGUAGUGCCGCAUGGCAUAGCAAUUAAAGGAGCAAUCCGCUAUGAGAUGGACCCGCGUCGCAUUAGCUAGUUGGUGAGGUAACGGCUCACCAAGGCGACGAUGCGUAGCCGACCUGAGAGGGUGAUCGGCCACAUUGGGACCGAGACACGGCCCAGACUCCUACGGGAGGCAGCAGUGGGGAAUAUUGCACAAUGGGGGAAACCCUGAUGCAGCAACGCCGCGUGAGUGAUGACGGUCUUCGGAUUGUAAAACUCUGUCUUCAGGGACGAUAAUGACGGUACCUGAGGAGGAAGCCACGGCUAACUACGUGCCAGCAGCCGCAGUAA
rnacentral:rRNA from 1 species